UGCCAGCCGCCGCGGUAAUACAGAGGGUGCGAGCGUUAAUCGGAAUUACUGGGCGUAAAGGGUGUGUAGGUGGUUAGGUAAGUUAGAUGUGAAAUCCCUGGGCUCAACCUGGGAAUUGCGUUUGAUACUGCUUAACUAGAAUACGGUAGAGGGUAGUGGAAUUUCCUGUGUAGCGGUGAAAUGCGUAGAUAUAGGAAGGAACACCAGUGGCGAAGGCGACUACCUGGACCGAUAUUGACACUGAGGUGCGAAAGCGUGGGGAGCAAACAGGAUUAGAUA
rnacentral:rRNA from 1 species